GCCAGGCCCUACGGGGCGCAGCAGGCGCGAAAACUUUACAAUGCGGGAAACCGUGAUAAGGGGACACCGAGUGCCAGCAUCAUAUGCUGGCUGUCCAGGUGUGUAAAAUACACCUGUUAGCAAGGGCCGGGCAAGACCGGUGCCAGCCGCCGCGGUAACACCGGCGGCCCGAGUGGUGAUCGUGAUUAUUGGGUCUAAAGGGUCCGUAGCCGGUUUGGUCAGUCCUCCGGGAAAUCUGAUAGCUCAACUAUUAGGCUUUCGGGGGAUACUGCCAGACUUGGAACCGGGAGAGGUAAGGGGUACUACAGGGGUAGGAGUGAAAUCUUGUAAUCCCUGUGGGACCACCUGUGGCGAAGGCGUCUUACCAGAACGGGUUCGACGGUGAGGGACGAAAGCUGGGGGCACGAACCGGAUUAGAUACCCGGGUAGUCCCAGCCGUAAACGAUGCUCGCUAGGUGUCAGGCAUGGCGCGACCGUGUCUGGUGCCGCAGGGAAGCCGUGAAGCGAGCCACCUGGGAAGUACGGCCGCAAGGCUGAAACUUAAAGGAAUUGGCGGGGGAGCACAACAACGGGUGGAGCCUGCGGUUUAAUUGGAUUCAACGCCGGG
rnacentral:rRNA from 1 species